UCAUAGAAGACGUCAUGAUAAAGCGAUCCCCGGGGCGGCUGCAAGAGACGAGGGAAUUGCUAGUAAAACAUAGAAAAUUACUACAGCAGGCUGCGCUUUUUCUGGAUCAGUUUUCUGAUGAAAUAAGAGCUUGACAUGGUCGCGCAGGCAUUGCAUAAGUACACUUUGAUCGUCCCGAAUAACAGCUGAAGGUAGAGUGUAGACGCUUGGGUGUUGUGUGGAAAUACUCUGAUCAUCUUCAGCACAGUGCCGGAGAAUCCAUUUAUAAGUCGGAUGGCACGCACUAAAAUAAUUUGAUUUAAAUUUGCGGGAUGUGGCCAGACUGCCAAACAACAAGACAUCUGGUUCUUUUGAUGAAUAGGACUCUGGAGAUAAAAGGAACUACAUGUGAACGUAUCUAGACAUCCGUCUUUUUUGAUCAUUUGGCAUUUGCACAGUGGCAGCAGGAGUUGCCGAGUCCAGAGGCAGCGUGUCCAUGACCUCGCUGCUACUCCUAAAUGCAAGACUGGAAACGGACUUGAUUGAUUGUUAACCCAUCGAUAUCUGGCGCUGCUGUACACUAUUAACAACACAACUAAAAAAGCAACAUUAUUUGCAAGGCGAAGAGACAGUGGGGAAAAAGAGAAUGGCUCUGACUUUAGGACAAGCCUGGAGGUUGGGGUGGAUUCUGCUGAAAGCUGUCCUCCGGUUCAUCUUCAUGAUCAUGAAUAACCUUGCUGCCAUCCCUUCAUAUGUUUUAUAUUUGAUAGUACUGCAGCCUGUUCGGCUGAUGGACAGUCGCACUUUUUGGCACAUUGAAGGAGUGAUGUUUAAAUGGCUAUUGGCAAUGGUGUCUUCGUGGGGCUGGGCUGCAGGAUAUAC